rnacentral:tRNA from 1 species
UCCCCUGGGUGUCCAGUGGUUAGGACUCUGCAGUUACACUGCAGAGGACUCAGGUUCAAUCCCUGGUUGGGGAA